rfam:Tauraco erythrolophus contig72422, whole genome shotgun sequence.
GGGGAUGUAGCUCAGCGGGAGAGUGCUUGCUCUGCAUGUAAGAGACCCUGGGUUCAACACCCAGCAUCUCCA